GGAGUUUGGGCCGUGUCUCAGUCCCAAUGUGGCCGUUUGCCCUCUCAGGCCGGCUACUGAUCGUCGCUUUGGUGGUCCGUUACACCGCCAACUGGCUAAUCAGACGCGGGUCCAUCUUAUACCACCGGAGUUUUUCACACUGUAUCAUGCGAUACUGUGCGCUUAUGCGGUAUUAGCAGUCGUUUCCAACUGUUGUCCCCCGGUAUAAGGCAGGUUACCCACGCGUUACUCACCCGUCCGCCACUAGAAUUACAACUUAGCAAGCUAAAAUGUAAUUCCCGUUCGACUUGCAUGUGUUAAGCACGCCGCCAGCGUUCAUC
rnacentral:rRNA from 1 species